AUUGAACGCUGGCGGCAUGCCUUACACAUGCAAGUCGAACGGCAGCACGGGAGCAAUCCUGGUGGCGAGUGGCGAACGGGUGAGUAAUAUAUCGGAACGUGCCCAGUAGUGGGGGAUAACUGCUCGAAAGAGCAGCUAAUACCGCAUACGACCUGAGGGUGAAAGGGGGGGAUCGCAAGACCUCUCGCUAUUGGAGCGGCCGAUAUCAGAUUAGCUAGUUGGUGGGAUAAAGGCCUACCAAGGCAACGAUCUGUAGUUGGUCUGAGAGGACGACCAGCCACACUGGGACUGGGACACGGCCCAGACUCCUACGGGAGGCAGCAGUGGGGAAUUUUGGACAAUGGGCGCAAGCCUGAUCCAGCAAUGCCGCGUGCAGGAAGAAGGCCUUCGGGUUGUAAACUGCUUUUGUCAGGGAAGAAAUCCUCUAGGUUAAUACCCUUGGGGGGAUGACGGUACCUGAAGAAUAAGCACCGGCUAACUACGUGCCAGCCGCCGCCGUAAAAC
rnacentral:rRNA from 1 species